rnacentral:sRNA from 1 species
CUCAGUCCUAACUCUGGUCUUCUCCCAACCGCCAUUCCUCUCCCUUGUUUCAGCUGCCCCUGCACCAGUCUGAGCUGGUCACCCACUGAGUCGCCCCACACUCCUUUGUCCCCGCAGGGCCUACCUGGAUGUGGACCUCACCCUGACUCGGGAGCAGACGGAGCGUUUGUCCCAGCAGAUCACCUCCCGCGUGGUCUCGGCGGCCACGCAGCUGCGGCACUUCUUCCUGGUAGAAGACCUCGUGGAUUCCCUCAAGCUGGCCCUCCUCUUCUACAUCUUGACCUUCGUGGGUGCCAUCUUCAAUGGUUUGACUCUUCUCAUUCUGGGAGUGAUUGGUCUAUUCACCAUCCCCCUGCUGUACCGGCAGCACCAGGCUCAGAUCGACCAAUAUGUGGGGUUGGUGACCAAUCAGUUGAGCCACAUCAAAGCUAAGAUCCGAGCUAAAAUCCCAGGGACCGGAGCCCUGGCCUCUGCAGCAGCCGCAGUCUCCGGAUCCAAAGCCAAAGCCGAAUGAGAACGGUGUCUC